GCCCUGAUGGCACAACUGGAUAGCGCGUCCCCCUCCUAAGGGGAAGGUUGCAGGUUCGACCCCUGCUCAGGGCACCA
rnacentral:tRNA from 1 species